GACGGAGGAUGCAAGUGUUAUCCGGAAUCACUGGGCGUAAAGCGUCUGUAGGUGGUUCGAAAAGUCCACUGUUAAAAAUUGAGGCUUAACUUCAAAGAUGCCGUGGAAACUUUCAAACUAGAGUAUGGUAGGGGUAGAGGGAAUUUCCAGUGGAGCGGUGAAAUGCGUAGAUAUUGGAAAGACCACCGAUGGCGAAGGCACUCUACUGGGCCACUACUGACACUGAGAGACGAAAGCUAGGGGAUCAAACGGG
rnacentral:rRNA from 1 species